rnacentral:rRNA from 1 species
GACGAACGCUGGCGGCGUGCUUAACACAUGCAAGUCGAACGGAAAGGCCCUGCUUUUGUGGGGUGCUCGAGUGGCGAACGGGUGAGUAACACGUGAGUAACCUGCCCUUGACUUUGGGAUAACUUCAGGAAACUGGGGCUAAUACCGGAUAGGAGCUCCUGCUGCAUGGUGGGGGUUGGAAAGUUUCGGCGGUUGGGGAUGGACUAGGGGCUUAUCAGCUUGUUGGUGGGGUAGUGGCUUACCAAGGCUUUGACGGGUAGCCGGCCUGAGAGGGUGACCGGCCACAUUGGGACUGAGAGACGGCCCAGACUCCUACGGGAGGCAGCAGUGGGGAAUAUUGCACAAUGGGCGGAAGCCUGAUGCAGCAACGCCGCGUGCGGGAUGACGGCCUUCGGGUUGUAAACCGCUUUCGCCUGUGACGAAGCGUGAGUGACGGUAAUGGGUAAAGAAGCACCGGCUAACUACGUG